rnacentral:rRNA from 1 species
GUGAGGAAUAUUGCGCAAUGGAGGCAACUCUGACGCAGCCAUGCCGCGUGCAGGAAGAAGGCGCUACGUGUUGUAAACUGCUUUUAACCGGGAAGAAACCCCAGGACGUGUCCUGGGUUGACGGUACCGGAGGAAUAAGCACCGGCUAACUUCGUGCCAGCAGCCGCGGUAAUACGAAGGGUGCAAGCGUUAUCCGGAUUCAUUGGGUUUAAAGGGUGCGUAGGCGGAGCGUUAAGUCAGUGGUGAAAUCCUGCAGCUUAACUGUAGACUUGCCAUUGAUACUGGCGCUCUUGAGUGCGCUUGAAGUGGGCGGAAUGUGCCGUGUAGCGGUGAAAUGCUUAGAUAUUACACAGAACACCGAUUGCGAAGGCAGCUUACUGGUCCAUUAUUGACGCUGAGGCACGAAAGCGUGGGGAUCGAACAGGAUUAGAUACCCUAGUAGUCC